rfam:Hypholoma sublateritium FD-334 SS-4 unplaced genomic scaffold scaffold_56, whole genome shotgun sequence.
GGCAAGAUGGCCGAGCGGUUAAGGCGUGUGACUCAAGCGUAAUUGCUUCCUGUUCUCUACAGGUUUCUCAUCACAGAAAUGUGGCAGGGGUUCGAGUCCCCUUCUUGUCA